AUUGAACGCUGGCGGCAGGCUUAACACAUGCAAGUCGAGCGAGUGGCGGACGGGUGAGUAAUGUCUGGGAAACUGCCUGAUGUAGGGGGAUAACUACUGGAAACGGUAGCUAAUACCGCAUACCCUCAGAUGUGCCCAGAUGGGAUUAGCUAGUAGGUGGGGUAACGGCUCACCUAGGCGACGAUCCCUAGCUGGUCUUAGAGGAUGACAAGCCACACUGGAACUGAGCCACGGUCCAGAUGCCUACGGGAGGCAGCAGGGGGGAAUAUUGCACAAUGGGCGCAAGCCUGAUGCAGCCAUGCCGCGUGUAUGAAGAAGGCCUUCGGGUUGUAAAGCACUUGCAGCGGGGAGGCGUUACUCGCAGAAGAAGCACCGGCUAACUCCGUGCCAGCAGCCGCGGUAAUUC
rnacentral:rRNA from 1 species